AGGGAAUCUUCCACAAUGGACGAAAGUCUGAUGGAGCAACGCCGCGUGAGGGAAGAAGGUCUUCGGAUUGUAAACCUUUGUCCUAUGGGACGAAACAAAUGACGGUACCAUAGGAGGAAGCUCCGGCUAACUACGUGCCAGCAGCCGCGGUAAUACGUAGGGAGCAAGCGUUGUCCGGAAUUACUGGGCGUAAAGGGUGCGUAGGUGGCCAAAUAAGUCAGGUGUGAAAGACCGGGGCUCAACCCCGGGGUUGCACUUGAAACUGUAUGGCUUGAGUACAGGAGAGGGAAGUGGAAUUCCUAGUGUAGCGGUGAAAUGCGUAGAUAUUAGGAGGAACACCAGUGGCGAAGGCGACUUUCUGGACUGUAACUGACACUGAGGCACGAAAGCGUGGGGAGCAAACA
rnacentral:rRNA from 1 species